CCUACGGGUGGCUGCAGUGGGGAAUAUUGGACAAUGGGGGCAACCCUGAUCCAGCCAUGCCGCGUGUGUGAAGAAGGCCCUCGGGUUGUAAAGCACUUUCAGUGAGGAAGAACGCCUGGUGGUUAAUACCCAUCAGGAAAGACAUCACUCACAGAAGAAGCACCGGCUAACUCCGUGCCAGCAGCCGCGGUAAUACGGAGGGUGCGAGCGUUAAUCGGAAUUACUGGGCGUAAAGCGCGCGUAGGUGGCUUGAUAAGCCGGUUGUGAAAGCCCCGGGCUCAACCUGGGAACGGCAUCCGGAACUGUCAAGCUAGAGUGCAGGAGAGGAAGGUAGAAUUCCCGGUGUAGCGGUGAAAUGCGUAGAGAUCGGGAGGAAUACCAGUGGCGAAGGCGGCCUUCUGGACUGACACUGACACUGAGGUGCGAAAGCGUGGGUAGCAAACAGGAUUAGAUACCCGUGUAGUC
rnacentral:rRNA from 1 species